AUGCUAUCAUUUAUGAUAUUUUUAGUAUUUCGUACAUGUCAGAACAUGCUAGAUAACUACAAUUCAACAUUCAUUUAUUAUGAGUAUAUUUUUCAAAUAUUAACAGGUAACAGCAUAGUUGUUAAUUGUAUCAGUUUCAUUAUGAAGGUUAUAUUGUUAUCUAGCAUGUUCUGACUUGUAGGAAAUACUAAACCUAUCAUGAAAGAUGGCAUAUGUUAACAAUUCAUUUUAAAAUGCUUCAGUGGGAAAAAGUACUUUGCAUUAGAACCUGCAAAUUCACUAGUAUUUUCCAAGAUUGUAUAAAGAAAAAAAGAAAAAAAAACACAUUAAGCAAAUGCUGUUUCUCAAAUCAGCACUUAUACAUUCUAUCAUAAUGCCUUGGACCACUUAAUCCUCAGAUUAUUUUCAUGUUUUUCUAGUAGCCUAAUAUUGUUCUUUAUAAAAAAAAAUAUUUCCUUCAGAGACAUGAAAUGAACUUAACUGUUUUAUUUUAUAGAUGCCUUCUGAAUUAAAUAUUCCUUAGUCUUUUCUUAACCUUCAUGACCUUGAAUUUUUCAGGGGGAAAGCUUGUAGAAUGUGCUUAAAAUGGAUUCUCUGGUUUCCUUAUGAUUGGAGCUAGAUUACAUGUUUUUGGCAAGAGUACCACAGAAAUCAAUUCUAUGAUUUUCAGUUUGAAUCACAUCAUGUGACCUAUAAUAUCCUCAUUACUGCUGAUGUUAAUAUUGGUCAUUAAUGUGGUAUUUGCAGGAUUUUACUUUGUAAUUAUUAUUUGUGUGAAGAUAGUUUGAGACUAUAAAUAUUAAUAUAAAUAUAAAUGUGUAUCAUUCACCACUAAAUUUGUUCAUUUAUUAUACCUAUACAGAUUCAUGGUUUAUUUUAUUGUGUUUGCUGUUACUUGUUAAUAUUUUAAAAAUUUAUUUUUCUUUCAGAAAUGUUCUAUUUUGAUAAUCUCAGAUUUAUAGACAGCAGUGAAAGGAAUUCAUAAGAAACAUCCCCAAAUGUUAUUCUUCAUUUCUAGAUAAGUCUACAUAUAUAACAGUUUUUAUCUCUGAACCAUUUGCAAGAUGCACACAAUGUCUUUUUAUUUGUAAAUAAAAAAAUCUCACAUUUUCUAAAAAUGAGAAAUUAUCUCUGUAACUAUGGUGCAAUGAUCAAAAUAAGUAAACUAUAUUGUGAAUAUCUACUCUACAG
rnacentral:lncRNA from 1 species